CGCGUAGGCGGGCUAUCAAGUCAGGUGUGAAAGUCCACGGCUCAACCGUGGAAGUGCAUUUGAAACUGAUAGUCUUGAGUACUGGAGGGGAGUGUGGAAUUCCUGGUGUAGAGGUGAAAUUCGUAGAUAUCAGGAGGAAUACCGGUGGCGAAGGCGACACUCUGGACAGAUACUGACGCUGAGGCGCGAAAGCGUGGGGAGCAAACA
rnacentral:rRNA from 1 species